UUCCUUGUCGUCUCAUCGAUAGGACAGCGGAUUUUGAUUCCGCCAAUCUUGGUUCGAACCCAAGCGAGGGAGCCA
rnacentral:tRNA from 1 species